rnacentral:rRNA from 1 species
UGGGGAAUUUUGGACAAUGGGCGCAAGCCUGAUCCAGCCAUGCCGCGUGCGGGAAGAAGGCCUUCGGGUUGUAAACCGCUUUUGUCAGGGAAGAAAUCUUCUGAGUUAAUACCUCGGGAGGAUGACGGUACCUGAAGAAUAAGCACCGGCUAACUACGUGCCAGCAGCCGCGGUAAUACGUAGGGUGCAAGCGUUAAUCGGAAUUACUGGGCGUAAAGCGUGCGCAGGCGGUUUUGUAAGACAGAGGUGAAAUCCCCGGGCUCAACCUGGGAACUGCCUUUGUGACUGCAAGGCUUGAGUGCGGCAGAGGGGGAUGGAAUUCCGCGUGUAGCAGUGAAAUGCGUAGAUAUGCGGAGGAACACCGAUGGCGAAGGCAAUCCCCUGGGCCUGCACUGACGCUCAUGCACGAAAGCGUGGGGAGCAAAACAGGAUUAGAUACCCUGGUAGUCCACGCCCUAAACGAUGUCAACUGGUUGUUGGGAAGGUUCCUUCUCAGUAACGUAGCUAACGCGUGAAGUUGACCGCCUGGGGAGUACGGCCGCAAGGUUGAAACUUAAAUGAAUUGACGGGGUCAUAGC